rnacentral:ribozyme from 1 species
CUUACAUGGAAGUUAACAAUAUCCCACCCCCACCUCCUCGAUCCCACAUAAUCACUACAUAAUAA